rnacentral:pre_miRNA from 1 species
UCUGGUGCCAUCUUACCUAGCAGCAUUAGAUGUGGAUAUGUUUUAAUACUGUCAGGUAAAGAUGUCGACAGA